ncrna:unclassified sequences DTF3800-V RNA
UUCUUGAGCGGUAAGUCCUUUCUGGGUGUCUGCGAUGUUCCCCUCCAUGGAGGGCAAAAGCCGCAGCAUUCCGAACCCAGAAGGCGCGCUCUUUUU